UGGGGACCACACUCUGCUGCUGAUGUUAUCAAAUGUCAAGCAGAAAUGGAGCCCCAGUAUGAGCCCUCCACAUUCUCUGCAAGCCACAUGCAAGUGGGAAAAUUAAAGACAACAAAUGACCUUGGACACCUAAUGAGCUGCCUUCCUCCUUGGUUGGUUCCCUGUUAAUUUUACUCAUUACAUCACUCCUACAGAUUGGUCUCUUAUUGCACAAGCCACACAGCUUCCUGUCCAUUGGGAAAUGACUUGGCCAGCUGCCUGAUUCACCCUUUUCCUGACCCAGCUGCACUGACCUUCCCACUCUGGGUGUGGAAUUAUAAUUUUUAUUAUGUUUUACAUGAUUAUAUAUUUUUAAUUUCCCACUCUCUGUGAGUUUUAUUUCCACACAGCCACUGUUCUCUGGAGCUGCCCCAUUCUGGCUCUUUAUUUCUGGUUGUCAGCAGGGUUUAGUGUCAGUGGUGAGACUGCAAUUGGUAAUUGGUAUCAGUGUGGUGUUGCCAAACUGGCCUCACAGCACCACCAUUUGUGUCAGAUGCUCUGCCUUGGGAUUUCAGAGCACCAGAAUUUGCUGAGGUCUGACCUGGAGCCGCUGGAGUGUUGAAGGAGUUCAGUUUGGUUUCCUGAGAAUUCUGCUGCUGCUGAAGGGCCUUACGACUCUGUCAGACCAAACACUGUCUAGAAGCAGAGUGCCCAAGGCGAGAGCAGCAGAUGUUCAAGGUGUGAGUUAUCUGUGCUAGCUGAGUGUCACUAAACCAGUGAUGGCAAAUCCCUUCAGCACAUCAGUAACACACACGAGCCAAGAGCUGCUGGCAAGAGAGGCUCAUCUAGAGGACAAGCAAUGACCAAGCACCAGAGGAAACCAGGAAUUGUAGAACUGCGCUGGGAAUGAGGCCUUUGUUGGUGCUGGAAGUUGUGCCGGGUCGUUGCAGCCCCUUUGCUGCACGGCCUGGUUAUGCAAAGCUCUCACUGCUGCUGUUCAGCCCCUUUGCUGCCUCUUCAUUGGUGAAGCCAUCACUGCCUGUGAACCCAUCUAUUUAAUAAAACGUGCCCUUGCUGGGGCUUUGAGGCUCAA